CGAACGCUGGCGGCGCGCCUAACACAUGCAAGUCGAACGAGCGAGAGAGAGCUUGCUUUCUCGAGCGAGUGGCGAACGGGUGAGUAACGCGUGAGGAACCUGCCUCAAAGAGGGGGACAACAGUUGGAAACGACUGCUAAUACCGCAUAAGCCCACGACCCGGCAUCGGGUAGAGGGAAAAGGAGCAAUCCGCUUUGAGAUGGCCUCGCGUCCGAUUAGCUAGUUGGUGAGGUAACGGCCCACCAAGGCGACGAUCGGUAGCCGGACUGAGAGGUUGAACGGCCACAUUGGGACUGAGACACGGCCCAGACUCCUACGGGAGGCAGCAGUGGGGAAUAUUGCACAAUGGGGGAAACCCUGAUGCAGCGACGCCGCGUGGAGGAAGAAGGUCUUCGGAUUGUAAACUCCUGUUGUGGAGGAAGAUAAUGACGGUACUCAACAAGGAAGUGACGGCUAACUACGUG
rnacentral:rRNA from 1 species